UUUCCAGAUGAGGGCAAGCGAGCGGAGUGGCCGGUGCUGCAGAGGCCGCUUCCGAGCGAGCCCGCUGGCGGGCAGCGCGGUGACUGCCGCGGCGCGGCCCGUGGGGCGCCCCGCGCGUGGGCGCCGCGCUUUCGCUUUCAUUUGCAACCAGAAACCGGGUGGCAGCGGGCGGGGGAGCCCAAGUACAUUCCCGUGUCGUGGGAUCUUCAGCAAAAUCUGGCGCGCACAUCGGAAGCGGGAGAAAGAAACAUGUGUUUUAUACGUGCAAUAUCUGAAAAAAAUUGGAACCCUCAACAAAUUAAGUCACAAAAUGGGACAGCAGACAACACACGCCAUGGCAACAGACUCGGAUGAAAUUUGUGCCCAUUGCUUCUUCUCCUGUCACUGGGUACCACUGAGAAGAGUCUGGCUCUAUCUUCCUUACACCUUCCCAUCAGAGUCUCCAGGCCCUUAAUCAUCUUCACAGUCAUUCACUGGACUCGCUCCAGCAUACCCAUGUCCCUCCUGUACUGGGGAGCCGAGAACUGGACACAGCACUCCAGAUGUGUCUCAUCAGUGCUGAGCAGAGGGGAGGGAUCGCCUCCCUUGAGCUGCUGGUGAUGAUUCUCCUGAUACAGCCCAAGAUGCUGCUGACCUUCUUACUUAAGACUUCAUUUGUAACAAAAAUACAUUACAUUUUACAAAGAGAAGGGGUAAAUCAGAAGCCUUCACAGUUGGAUUUUUUCCUUCAUUUCCUCUACAAUAUCAGACAAUUGCAACUGAAGAUGAGCCACUAGAAGCAAUGACAAUACUUCACAUACUCCUUCCUAGAUGUAUGGCUGAUAUACAUGCUGAAGGUUAAAUGGACUUCAGUUGAUGUGUGUAAUGAUUAAACAAAAGCUUAUCUUCCAAAUAACCAAGAGCUGAAGAUGAUACCUAUCAAAACUACAUAUGUGGACUCCACAAAAAAAUGCUUAGGAACUACUGCUCUAACUCACUGUAAUCACUGAAAAUACAGGAGCAAUAAGACAAAACACCAAUCCAGGAAGGGUUAUCAAAGGAAAAAACCUAAACAACCUUUGAUUUAAAAAAAGUACUUACUUUAAUAUUUUAACAAAUUCUGGAGAAAGAAGAACGCAUUAUUACUAUUCCACUUCCUGAAAUUGGGGGCUAUACUUACAAAAUAUUUUUCAAAUAGAUUAUAUAAUACAUGUACAUAUUACAAACUAGUAAUCUGAUAAGAAAUGAAGCAUGCUUAAUUAAAAGUGUACUGUUUUUAUGGUCAAUCAUUCCAUAAAAGGUACUGCAGAUUGCAGUUGGCUUUUUGCCACCUAAAAAAAAAAAUAGUCAAGAAAAAAAUGUGCUAAGAAUCAUCAUGCAGGAUUUCAAAAUAAAAAAACACCAAGAAUUGACAACUAUAGUUUGGCUUUUCACUACUCAAAAUAACUUUUAAGAGUGCAUCUUUAAAAGUUUUAAAGUUUUAGGCAGAGAGGGAAAAAGAAAAAAAAAUUAAACAUCAAAUAUUUUGUAUUUUCUAUAUCAGCUAGUGUCAACACUUCUGUAAUACUACAGCACUACUUCUGAGAACACCCUCAGCUCAUUCUUUAAACUGUAUAGUAAAAGUAUGUACAAAAUGUUUUGGAUAUUCCAAUAACUGGACUUAAAACAUACAAAUAAAUUAAUACCACCAUUCAGCAACCUUAAAUCAAGGACACUCUUUUCAACAGAAAGGACAUACAGCAAAAAAGUAUAUCAGACAUCUCUGUUAUACCCUAUAUAUAUUCCCAUGAAAAUAUGCUGCUUAUUAUGUAUACCAUUAAAUUGUAGACUAGAAUCAGUCCCCAAAUGUAAAGCAUAAAACCACACAGAGCACACUGCAUGAUUAUAAUCUUCAAGUGAUUAAGGGAUAAACACUGGUGACAAGGUCUGCAGCAAAGAAAAACCUACAGCUUCCAAGAAAAUACAUGUGACUGUUAGGACAGUAAUAUGAUCACACAAAAGUGCUGACAGUGGGUCUAACACAACCUUUUCCUCUCCUCCCUAUUUUCUAUCACGAAGUACAAUCUGACCUUGCAACUCCAUUUCAUCACUGUCUUGCUUUGACAGCUUUCAAGAAAAGCACAACUCCACAGUAGAAUUUAAGAGUAUUAAUUACAUGGUACAAUGUGCUUUAGUAAAGCUGCAAAGAAACAAAAAAUCCUGAGUCUAUGCCCAACUAAAAUGAUACAAAAUUUAUUUCUAUUUCUAGGAUUUCAUUCAGAGUUCUAAAAAGAGAAAAAUACUGUAUUUUAUACAUUUGAAUUAUACAUCUUUAUUUUUUAUUUAUUUAGAGUAAAUAAUGGUUUAGAAAAGUUUAUUACUAGCUAGAGAUUAAUGUUAGUAAUUAAUGGGUAAAUAUCUGAAUGUAUUCAACAGAUACAUCCCUGAAGAAAAGUAAUUUUGUUAAUCAUUCAGUCAAAUACACUGAAUCUACUCUCUCAGUAUGCUUACUGAAGUCACAUAAGAUGGAAAUUUAUAAAACCUAACAAUUUUAUCUAACCAGCUAAAAGUUUGAUUGUUUAUAUUCUUCCAAAUUCAGGGUGCACAUAUAGGUUUUAUUUUACAGGUUCAUAUUUAGAAUUUACACACACCUACAGAGUGAGCCAACAUUGCCUUUUUCCAUAUUCUCAAAAAUGUGAGGGAUCCAGGAAUUCAAUUUCAUGCACUCAAUGUUGCUCAAUUCAUUUCUAAUUCAAGCACAUAAGUUUCCUAAUGAUAUCCACCAAUGGGGAAAAACAAUACAGUCAUUUCCAAGAAAGACGUUUCAGAGUAAAAUUAAAGGUAUCUAUAUACAGUUUCACAAAUGACACAUACACUGACUAAGAAUUAGUCCAAAUGGCUAUUAGAAGUUAGAUGCCGCUGCAUUUUGCUGCUAAUGUUGGUUAUUUAUCAGGUUGCAUGGCUAGACUGCAAGUAACCUUUUUUGCUAUAUGUAAAUGCAACUUUUCAGCAUUUGCUGGACACUAACGUACUUCAGAAUAAAUCAAAGUUAAGAAGAGUAAAGCUGACUGCUUUAGACACUAAAUGAAGAUGAUUUAGUUUGCUUAUUUUGAAAACAUAAUUUCUUUAGAGAAAAGAUUUUGUGGAGAAUAAAAAAAAUAUAUUGUCUU